rnacentral:lncRNA from 1 species
GAAUUUGCUGUAACCCACAUAUACUCUUCUCUGAGAAAAGGCCUGGGAUUCUUCUUUGUUUAGCCAUAGAAGUUACCAAAGCCUUUUAUGCAGCUCCUGAUUGCAAAGAUUCCACUAGUAUUAAAUAUCAAGCACACCAAAGUUUGGUUCACAGACAUGCACAAAAGAACUCUAUUUUGCAUGAAACCUUCAGCACAUCACGAGUGAAGACAAAGUUUGGAGCUAAGAGCUGAUGAGACUAGAUCAAAGAUGUUUUUUCUCCCUA